CAGACACUUCGUCCAUGACCAUGGUGUUAUAGCAUAACAUUUUCGAUCCAUAUUCCAAAAAUGGAUACGAACAAUUCUAUGCUGAGGCCAACACUGGCUAUCUAGCUUGGAGACUCAAAACAGUCCAACGCACCAUUUAUGACGGCUUUCGUCGGCGUUCCAGGAACGAUUUCCAGGACAGCCCAACAACCCAACGAGAGACUCUGUUAAUUGGUUGACAGCUCUUUGCGCUUUCUUGACACACCCAGAUUGAUUGAACAGGAUUUCUCAAUGAUGUUUGGGGCUGAAGUAUCUGGGCAGUUUCCUGCAAAGUGGCCUUCAUAUUUCAAGGACAAAGUCAUCGCAGAAUGCCAGUCUUCCCCAAAGUCUCCAUGUCGAGGAAUUGCUGGCUUUUGACACUGAGGCUGAGAAUGACUUUGAUGUCUUCAAGGCUGGGAUAGUGAUAUGUCAGCUCUUCUGUUGCUGUUGCAUCUCCUGCCUCCUACAUCAAGAGGCCACAAAAAACAGCCAAAGGAAGCUCAGCCCAGGCAGCCAACCAUCCUGAAGGAGCCAGCAUCACUACAUUCCUGGAGAAAGUUGGUGCUAGACAGCCCUUCCUCCUCUGCAUCUGUGAGCAAAAGAAGAACAUCGAAAGAUUCUUCAUCAUUGUGGACCAGAAAGCUGUCCCCUUCAACGCUCGGACAUCGGUGGCUGCUGUUGGUGUGUUAUUCAAAGCUCACUAUGUCUUCAGCAUCUCCUACGACGAAGCUCUUUCCAGUUUCUACACCCUCAUUCAAACCACGGUGUACAACAUCGAUGGACUUUGAUGACCAUUUCCAUGCAUAUUGUAUAGAGGAGCAAAGCAGCGAACGUGUUCUGAUUGGUCUUGACGAACUGCCAUACGUUAGACCUUUUGAUAAACUACUCUAAUG